rnacentral:rRNA from 1 species
UGACAGUACUCCUACGGGGAGGCAGCAGUGAGGAAUAUUGCGCAAUGGGGGUAACCCUGACGCAGCAACGCCGCGUGUGCGAAGAAGCAGUUCAUCUGUGUAAAGCACUGUUAAUUGGGAAGAACGAACAGGUUAGCAGCCUGUUUGACUGUACCAGCAGAGGAAGCUCCGGCUAACUCCGUGCCAGCAGCCGCGGUAAUACGGGGGGAGGCGAGCGUUGUCCGGAAUCAUUGGGCGUAAAGGGCAUGUAGGUGGGACCGUUAAGUCAGCUGUUAAAGGAUACGGCUUAACCGUAUUUUGUCAGUUGAUACUGGGGUUCGUUGAGUGUGAGAGGGGACGAGAGGAAUAUCAGGUGUAGCGGUGGAAUGCGUAGAUAUCUGAUAGAACACCGGAGGCGAAGGCGUCUGUCUGGCUCAUAACUGACACUGAAAUGCGAAAGCAUGGGUAGCGAACAGGAUUAGAUACCCUGGUAG